CAAGUCGAACGAAUCCCAGUUGCUGUAGCAAUACAGUGAUUGGGGGAAGUGGCGAAAGGGGCAGUAAAGCGUGGGUAACCUACCCUGGGGACCGGGAUAGCCUUCCUAACGGAUGGAUAAUACCGGGCGCCGUAGUCGAGUCACAUGGUUUGACUACGAAAUGAAUUUCGCCCUGGGAGGGGCUCACGUGCUAUUAGCUUGUUGGCGGGGUAACGGCCCACCAAGGCAGAGAUGGCUAGCGGGUGUGAGAGCACGACCCGCGCCACUGGCACUGAGACACUGGCCAGACUCCUACGGGAGGCUGCAGUCGAGGAUCUUCGGCAAUGGGCGCAAGCCUGACCGAGCGACGCCGCGUGCGCGAUGAAGGCCUUCGGGUUGUAAAGCGCUGUCGAGGGGGAGGAAGCCGAAAGGUUGACCUAUCCCUGGAGGAAGCACGGGCUAAGUUCGUGCCAGCAGCCGCGGUAAGACGAACCGUGCGAACGUUGUUCGGAUUCACUGGGCUUAAAGGGCGCGUAGGCGGGUUACCAAGUCAGGGGUGAAAUCUUUCGGCUCAACCGGAAAAGUGCCCCUGAUACUGGUAGUCUUGAGGGAGGUAGGGGCAUGUGGAACUUCUGGUGGAGCGGUGAAAUGCGUAGAUAUCGGAAGGAACGCCGGUGGCGAAAGCGACGUGCUGGUCCUCUUCUGACGCUGAGGCGCGAAAGCCAGGGGAGCGAACGGGAUUAGAUACCCCGGUAGUCCUGGCCCUAAACGAUGAGUACUAGGUUGUGGACUUGACAUGGGUUCACAGCCGAAGCAAAAGUGCUAAGUACUCCGCCUGGGGAGUAUGGUCGCAAGGCUGAACUC
rnacentral:rRNA from 1 species